UACGCAUGGGGCGAGCGUUGUUCGGAAUCACUGGGCGUAAAGAGUACGUAGGUGGAUUUGCAAGUCAGAAGUGAAAUCCCAGGGCUUAACCCUGGAACUGCUUUUGAAACUGCAAGUCUAGAGUCCCGGAGAGGUUGGCGGAAUUCCGAGUGUAGAGGUGAAAUUCGCAGAUAUUCGGAGGAACACCAGUGGCGUAGGCGGCCAACUGGACGGGAACUGACACUGAGGUACGAAAGCGUGGGGAGCAAACAGG
rnacentral:rRNA from 1 species